AUACGGAGGGUGCGAGCGUUACUCGGAGUCACUGGGCGUAAAGCGUCCGUAGGCGGUCGGGUAAGUCGGGUGUGAAAACCCCGGGCUCAACCUGGGAAGUGCACCCGAUACUGCUCGACUCGAGUGCGGGAGAGGAUGGCGGAAUUCCCGGUGUAGCGGUGAAAUGCGUAGAGAUCGGGAGGAACACCAGUGGCGAAGGCGGCCAUCUGGCCCGCAACUGACGCUGAGGGACGAAAGCGAGGGGAGCAAACAGGAUUAGAAACCCGAGUAGUCC
rnacentral:rRNA from 1 species